GGGCCUGUAGUUCAAUGGUAGAAUGCACCCCUCGCUAGGGUGAGGCUGUGGGUUCAAAUCCCGCCAGGUCCA
rnacentral:tRNA from 1 species